AGAAAAAGUGGAUGGCAUUAUUUUCGUUUACGUCCACAGUACAUUCAAAUUUCUUGUAAACAAACUCGAUAAUUGUCAAAAUAUUGAGAUUGUGUUACUUCUUGCAUGUAAUAAAAAGAGAAUGACGAAGACAAUGGUGAAUUCUUAAUUUCAAGCAGUAAAGUAAUUUAAUAAUUCAAAAUUUAUUGAAGUGCGCGUGAUUAUAAAGAAUGAUUUCAGACUAUUACAGCUGUAUCUUAUUAAUUUAUUGUGCUAAUUGUUUUUGCUCAGUUUUCGGUUCAAUAAUUAAUACUACUUUGUCUAAACCAUGUCUGAUAGAUAUGUUGAAUCAAUGUCCACCCAAUUCUACAUGUGACGAAGGUUCGUGUGUUUGUUUGCGACAGUUCAAACAAAACCCUAAAUAUGAUGAGCAGAAGAAAAACGAAUUAUGCAUUGAAAUGGAUGCAACAUUUGAUGGCAAUAAAUCAGUCAUAUAUGGCAAUGUUUAUGGAAAAGCUCCAGAACCACAUCAUAUUUUAGGUGGAAUUUUGAUUCCUAUUAGUGCAGUAAUAGUGAUUUUAGCCACCCUCGUAUUAGCUAAAAAAAUGCAGUUAAUACAAAGGAUCCGCCAUUCCCUUUUUUCGAAUCGACCCAGAAGGCCGGCUUAUGAAGAUGUUGUAUUAGUAGGCUAUGAACAAUAAUUCCAAAGAAAGGAUUCUUGAGCGUAAAUUAUUAAUAUGAAAGGGAACAUCAAGCAAGGCUUUGAUCGACUCGUUAUUCCUAAUAGUUAUCACCAUAAAUUUGAGUUGAAUGAAGUGACAUAUGUAAUGGUAUCAUCAGAUAAAACAUUUUUUUUUCUAUUUGUAUAUAUAAAACAAAAUGAUACCCUUCUGAUAGUGCACAAACAAUGUACAUAAAUCAUAUCACAAUGAGAAACGCAUUUAGGAAACCUAAUCAAUUGAUUUGGUUCAAUUAAACAUAGGAUCAGUAUCCAACAUAAAAUUAAAAGAAUGUGAUUUAUUUUCGAUAAUUUUGUAGAUAUAAACAGACAAUGUAACUUCCAUAUUGAUCUACAGUGAAAAAUAAAACAUAAAAAC